AAUGUGUGAGUCGGGGGGUUUGAGGGUUUGAGGGUGGAGGAAUGAGAGAAAUGUGAUCAGUGAUUGGAAGGAAAAAGAAAAACCAUAACCACGUGGAUUUAAUGAUUUUAAAACAUAAAAAAAAAGUUACAGCUCAAUUCAAAGUUAAUGUCGUCUCAAUACACUUAACGGUUGGGAUAAAAUGUUGUAAAAUGUUUGCAUUUCAUAAGGACUUAAGGAAAAAGUGUGAUAAGCGAUUGGAAGGAAAAAGAAAGACCAUAGCCACGUGGAUUUAAUGAUUUUAAAACAAAAAAAGUUACAGCUCAAUUCAAAGUUAAUGUCGUCUCAAUACACUUAAUGGUUGGGGUAAAAUGUUGUAAAAUGUUUGCAUUUCAUAAGGACUUGAGGAAAAACUUGAGGAUCGAACUGAGAUUUUCACACAAACAUAAGGACCAAGGGAGGAAUUAAGCCUAAAAUAAAAAAUUCAUCUCAGCAUCAAUUAACACUGUAUGAGACAACUUAACGGUUAGUGUAAAAUGUGUGCAUUUUUACAAAAAUUAUGACCCAAUUGAGACAGUUCAAAACUUGAGGACCAAACUGAGAUUGACAUAC
rnacentral:lncRNA from 1 species